CCUGCGGCUGUUAGUGCUGAGAAGACUGGGGAGCGUGUGGGUGGGCCUGGAGGGCACUGCAGGGCUUUCCGGAAGGAGCUGGGAGGAAAAAGAUGAAAAGCAACUCCGAAAGGGAACAAUUCUGAGUAAAGGUGGAAAAUCUCUCUCAUGACUGCAUGUAAGUGCCAGCGAGCACUCAGGGUGGUGAAAGGGCAUCUCACCAGCAGACUGCCAGCUGCCCAGGAUUUGUUCUGAGGGGCUCUGACUACCUGGGGGAUUCCCAGAGAGCCCGUCGCCCUCAGUGCUACCUCAUUACCAUGCUCCUCCAAGGUCUCCACUCCCGAGGAGAAAGAAACAUCCCCCUUGGCUGGCCUCACAGAAGAUACAAAAGCAAAGCCCACCAGCACCAAAUUGAAAUUGACAGGAGAUGGGUGGAGUACAGUGUGUGGAUUUGUCAGCAUCUGCGUGGAGUCUGGAGCUGCAAACUUCAACCUCUGUAGAGAGCCAGAGGCCUGGGGGCCUGGUGGUUGUUAAAGUACUCAGUGAAGCAGGCAGUUUAAUAUGCAAUGAGGAGUUUCACCUACAUCUAGAGGAACAGUUGCGGUUAAUGACUUCUGGAAUGGACACCUGGCCUCGCACCUGGGAUGUGCUUCGGCAACAUGGCCACCUCAGCAUACCCAGACUCACAGCUUCAUCACCUCUCUCCACAUUUAACACUCAGGUUUGUGUUUACUGUGUUGCCGAGUGAAUCCACCUGGAGAUUUCAUCUCUGUUGCUGGGUUAAUUUGCGGAUGUCAUGAAGAGCCCCAUUCCCAAGUGUGAAGGCCCACAUUUGCGCUUCCUCAGAACAACGCAGUGGCAGGCCUUGAGCUGAGCAUAGACUUGCUUUCACUCACUCACCUAUGUCCUUUUCAGUGUGAGGGUUUCCACUCACAGGCUGUGGGAAGGUGUGGCCAGAGAGAGGGCCUGAUGACCAAGAGGCUGGUACUCCCGUCCCAGCAGUAGGAGGGGCGAAGAGGGG
rnacentral:lncRNA from 1 species